rnacentral:rRNA from 1 species
GGGGGGUACCCCUGGGGUGAGAGUGGCGAACGGGUGAGUAACACGUAGGUGAUCUAUCCCUGGGUGGGGAAUAGCCCAUGGAAACAUGGGGUAAUACCGCAUAAGGUCUGGAUCGUACGCGGUCUGGAUGAAGGGAGCAAUUGUUCCGCCUGGGGGUGAGCCUGCGGCCCAUUAGCUAGUUGGUGAGGUAAGAGCCCACCAAGGCGACGAUGGGUAGCCGGCCUGAGAGGGUGAACGGUCACACUGGAACUGAGACACGGUCCAGACUCCUACGGGAGGCAGCAGCUAAGAAUCUUCCGCAAUGGGGGAAACCCUGACGGAGCGACGCCGCUGUGGACGAAGAAGGCCGUGAGGUUGUAAAGUCCUUUUCUUGGCGAAGAAUAACGGUAGGGAGUGGAAAGCCCUGCUUGGAUGACGUUAGUCAAGGAGUAAGCCCCGGGCCAAUUACGUGCCAGNCAGCCCGGCGGUAACCNCGGUAUUGGGGCAAAGCGGUUGUUCGGGAAUCACUUGGGCCGUUACAGGGCGUGUACGCCGGUUUUGGGCAAGGCCCUUGCCCGUUNAAAANGGCUCCGGGCUCAACCCGGGGGAAUUGGCGCCCUUGGGAACUUGCCCGA